rnacentral:rRNA from 1 species
GACGUAGGGCGUGAGCGUUGUCCGGAUUUAUUGGGCGUAAAGAGCUCGUAGGCGGUCUGUCGCGUCGGUUGUGAAAACCUGCAGCUUAACUGUGGGCUUGCGGUCGAUACGGGCGGGCUGGAGUUCGGUAGGGGAGACUGGAAUUCCUGGUGUAGCGGUGAAAUGCGCAGAUAUCAGGAGGAACACCGGUGGCGAAGGCGGGUCUCUGGGCCGAUACUGACGCUGAGGAGCGAAAGCGUGGGGAGCGAACAGG